CUGCUCACUUCAGCAGCACGUAUUCUAAAGUUGGAAUGAUACAGAGAAGAUUAGCAUGGCCCCUGCACAAGGAUGGCACACAAAUUCAUGAAGCAUUCCACAUUUUU